GUUAAUAUUUUUUAUCUUCUAUUGUUGUCACUGACCUAUUGUCUAUUGUUUAUUUUUUUUCUUCUCGAGCCGAGGGUCUUUCGGAAACAGCCUCUACCCCUCUGGGGGUAGGGGUAAGGCGAUUGAUGAAGCAGAAGACGAAUGGAGUCAACAUAAUGCUAAGAAGCUCAUAGAUACAAGUGCAAAGGGGUUGCGGGCUUCAAUCCCAAAAGAUUUUCCCUAUUUCCAUGUCGAAUUUGGCCUAAACAAGGGGUUUGUUCAUGUAAUCGAUGACGAAAAACAGUUCAGCAGCAGUUUUGGCAUCAACGUUAUAAGAGGGAUGCUGAAGCCGCCUAAGGACAUGCAUCAGCGUCGGCAGCAUGAAUCAAUGGAGACACAAAUACAAGCUGUGGCAAGUUUUUCCCGAGUUUGGGAGCCUUUUGACUGGACUAAACAGCUCGACUGACUAACACGCGGCAUCUGACUGAAGUUAGCAGUACAGAUGUAUAAUAUCUGCACUAAGAAUAUAAUUCAUAGGAGUAUAUUAUGUCUUUUCCUUGUAAAUGUAAUUUCCAUGCUGAGGUACGCGGCUAGUUAAUAUAUUUUCGCAUUUUGAUUACACAGUUAUGCAUUUUAACUGGACUAAACAGCUACUGCCUAGCAUCUUGCAUUUGACUGAAGUUAGCACUUAGCAAUGCAGAUGUAUGCAUGAUAUCUGCACUAAGAACAUAAAUGUAUUAUCUGUUUCUUAUUUCACCUGUGAAUAUAUUAUCUCAAUGAAGUACGAGGAUGAUGAUUGAA